CAACUCAGUUGGAUAGAGCGUGGUGCUAACACCGCCACGGUUGCAGGUUCGAUCCCCGUUAAGG